GUUGCAGUCCCCAUAGAUAUAUCUGAAUCCAUGCCUGCGGUCACCUCAGAAACAGAAAUACCUUUAGAAGUACUGGACGAUAGUUUUCCAGUAAGAGAUUUUUCAUCUUCUAGGAUGUCAGAUUCCAGAUGAACACUUGACUCUUCAGGUUUGGAUGAUCUUGGUCUCUUGUUUCUUUGUUCUGGAUUUUUGUUCUUUGUUUGCUGCAAGUAAUGAAUGCAUGAAAGUAAACAGUGAGGAUCUGGCAAGUAUCUUGCUGCAAAAGAAACAGACUUGGACAUCAAACCUGGAAACAACUUUGCAAGAACAACAGCAAUGCCACAGGAAUUAGCAAGUUGUAAAUGAAUACAAGUAAGAGGUCAAGCAAACCAUACAUGGAAUAGAAGUAAAUGCUAAUUGACAAUACAGAAGACAAGUGCUCAGGAAAUUCAGUAUGCCAUCAACUAGUGGUCUUAUCAUGUAUCUUACACUAAUUAAGCAGAUCAGACUCCAACAUGAUGCAGAAUAUUCCUUCAAAUGGUAUGAGUUGGACAAAAAAUUUAUGAAGAUUCUGUUGUGCUACAGAACAUCAAGAUAAAAAAAAAAGGAAUUUUUACCUCAAGGAUGCAUUGGUUACUGCAAGGUUUUCUUUCUUCCUCAUGCUCAGGCCAAUAGAGCUGCUUCUCAUUCUGUGAGACAAGAUACCCAGUAAAGUCAUGGAAAGAGAAACAAUUACAUAGGCUACAACAGUCGACAAGAAAUGUACAUUGGGUUUGCUUACUGGAUAGAUUAAUGACUGAGAACAUCCAUGUAGACGGCAAUCAAACACCUGUCAGUGGGAUGCAUACAGCAAAUGAGCAAGAGCAUUACCGAUUGAACAAACACCUUGGAAUGUAAAUGGCUGUAUAAUAUUAAUAUUAUUGAUUGAACAAUACUUUUAGUUCCUAAAGUACGACUCACUUUCAGUUUAUAUUCUCAUCACCAUCUUCUAACCCUUGAUUCUGUCUCCAAGUUAUUAGUUGAAAUUAAAUUGGUCUUUAACUUUUACUAUCAGGAGAAUUAAGAUACCAACACCGCUCUUUCUUACAGGAAAAUUCCAGAUGACAUGGAUUCAAAGUUUUGAAGGACAAAAUAGAACAUAAAAAACACUGGGGACCAACAUGAAAAACAAGGGGACAAACCUACUCUAACUUGCUUAAACAAAUGACUAAAAAAUCCCUUACCAUACAACGACGACAAAAGAGGUUAUCAAAAGAAUCUAACGUUGAACUGAGGCUCUUGUAUAAAGAUAUUCCCUUCUUAAACACAGAUUCUUCCAAAACUUUAGAACUCAAAUCUGCUCUGUAAUUCCUUUCCUUAAGUACAUUACACCGCUCCUGAAAAUAACAGAAAAUGAGUGUUUCAAGCAAUAGAAAGGAUGAAGGCUCCAAUCAAAUUUUUUGACAGCAAAAUAACCUCGUGCAUGCAUAAAUACAUAUAUAUCAUGAAAAUAUAUAUAAUACAUACGUAUGCAAAGUAUAAUCAGCAUGUCUACAGAGUGUGUUUCACCAUGUCUAUUCAGAUUACCUGGAUUUCUGAUGUGGUACAGCCAAUAGAAUGGCUUAAAAGCUGAAGUACAUUCUCGCCUACUCCAUGUUCCUGAAUAAUUAUCCUGGAAAUACAACAAAGAAGAAAAAAUUGAUCUUAACUGAUCUAUGUAGGUUAUAAUUUCAAAAAUCAUAUAUAAGCAGACAUUGCUACAUUAAUUCAUUUUCCAACAUAUUUGGCUCAUGCAUUGCCUCAUCACUGAAAGCAUUAAACAACAGGUCAAGUACUCAAGUUCAUCUGGUCUCCAAAACAGAAAAUUCACCAGCAAUCUAAGAAUAUAAUAAACAAAGAGGAAGAAAUGCAUGAAUAGUUGAAGAUACUGGAUCCUGAAAUAACCAACACAGGAAGAAAUAAAACAGCUAAAAAUCACCUCUGAAUAUUUAAGCAGUUGUAUGAAGAACCAGAAAUACAGUUCAUAUCAAUAUAUACAAGGCAAGCAGUAUCUAAUUUAGCUCACCAUAACACACGGUCUUCACCUUCAGAAAACUCAUGUUUUUCAUCCUCUGGUUCUGCAAGCUCUUCCUCACUGUCACUACAGAUCAAGGCUUCACUGCCAUGCUGAUCAUAAUAAAUGCGUCUUCUACCGACCACUGACUGGUCUUCAGCCAUUCUUUGAUUCCUGUGCUGUGAGUGACAAAUUUGAGAUAGAUAUGAUAGAUAUAAAACAACAAAGUACUUAUUUAUAAUAGCUUGAGGCCUGAGAGCAUUUGUAUGGGGUGUUUGGGCCCUAACUUUGAGUGGGAUAGCCAACUCUAUGUUGGAGGCUCCAAUUAUAAUAGUGUUGGUUUCCGGCUAUUAUAACAUACAAUUAACUUCAAUAUCACUAUAUCAAAACUACACUAUUGCUAUAUCAAAUCUUUAGCAGUGUUUACUAUUUUCUACUAAUACUCUAAUCAGUAUUUACUUUAUUCUGUUCAAACUAAAAUAGUCUACAGCCCGUACUAUUAUCACCCAAAGACAAAUAAUCACUAACUAUAAAAAUCAACACAGUUCCUAAACACCCUCUAUAGGUUGUGAAGAAAAAUAUAUCAACAUUUCCUUUACUUAGAGAUAGAGGAAACUUCAAGUAUAUCCAUCACCGGACUGUUAAAGUGAAUUUUAAGUGGAAAC
rnacentral:lncRNA from 1 species